AGGAAGAGACUCAAACACAAACAUGUUUUGGUUCAGAUUAUGAAUCACAGACAUUAACAUCGAAUCCUUGAUUUACCAGACAAUGUAACUUGAAGGGAGCAAAAGACAUCUCUUGCCCGGCAACAAUUGAACAAGAUUUUGCGACCCGGUGACGAGAGAUCAUGCUGUUUUCAUUUUGCUGAUCACGUUUGGCUCGUCAAGUUGUGCGGCAAGGAAGUAUUCAACUCAAGCACAUCUAGAGGUUUCGAUGUCAAAAAACCUGUGGUUGUGCCAUCUAAAAGAUCAUCAGAACCUGUAGUUGUGCCAUCUAAUACGAUUCUUACGAAAAACAGAUGUGAUGUUGUCGAAUCAAUGAUUUACCAGAUGCUUAUAACUUUUGUAAUUUUUAAACAUAUCAAUUUGUUUCGCUAGG